UAUAUAAUAAGCUAAAUAAAGCUUACAGGUUCAUACCCUGUCGAUAAAUUAAAAAAUUUUUAUAUAAU
rnacentral:tRNA from 1 species